rnacentral:rRNA from 1 species
AACAUGUGGUUUAAUUCGAUGAUACGCGAGGAACCUUACCUGGGCUUAAAUGUAGAGUGCAUUUUCUAGAGAUAGGAAUUCCCUUCGGGGCUUUCUACAAGGUGCUGCAUGGUUGUCGUCAGCUCGUGCCGUGAGGUGUCGGGUUAAGUCCCAUAACGAGCGCAACCCUUAUCGUUAGUUGCCAUCUGGUAAAGCAGGGGACUCUAGCGAAACUGCCACCGUAAGGUGAGAGGAAGUGGGGAUGACGUCAAAUCAGCAGGCCCUUAUGUCCAGGGCUACACACGUGUUACAAUGGUCGGUACAGAGGGCAGCUACCUGGUGACAGGAUGCUAAUCUCGAAAACCGGCCUCAGUACGGAUUGAGGGUUGCAAUUCACCCUCAUGAAGCUGGAGUUGCUAGUAACCGCAGGUCAGCUAUACUGCGAUGAAUACGUUCCCGGGGCUU